UUUAAGGUAGUUUGGUGCAUCAUAAUAUGUGUGCUCUGCUCAAAGUGUAUUAAAAACCAAAGUGUACCAGGGACCAGGUACAAGCUUUAAUACUAAUUGACUGUAUUAAACAACAAUUCAUUUAUACGUUUUAGGCGUUAUUCCCAUGUUCAUGCAGUGUUUUUGCAGCAUGAUGGCUGGCAUAACAUCCCUCCCGGGCUUCAUGGUAAUAUCACAGUUGCACAUGUCCGUUCAACCACAUUUAAAUGAAUGAGAUAUUACAAAUAUGUUUUGUGUUAUUUGGCUCCUUUGCAGAAGAGUAGCUCAGCUCAGAGGACUGACCUCCUUAUCCUUUUGCAACAAGAUGGCAAAGCUGGCAUGAAUACCAAUCACCCUCUCAGAUGAAGACAAACACAACCCAGAACAACCACUAAAUGAGGAUCUGGGAGAAAGGAGCAGUGUGUGCAAUGGAGUGUGAUGGAGGUGUUGAGGAUCAUGAUCGGGGUGAUGAGGGUGCCCUCUGGAGGAUUACUGCCAAUUCCAAGGUCUGCGUCUGAGACACAGACACCAGCCGCUUGUCGCAGACAUAAUCCUCAGGUCAACACGCUUUCCUCCAAAUGUUACCUCUCUUUUGUGACACAGAUUCCAGCUGUCUAGGGCAGUGUCAGGGAGAAGGUCAUGGGCAAUGCUGAGGUGUGUUAAUGUAGAGAUAUAUGGAUAUUCUAGAUUGCAUAGUUGUAUUGAUGAGUAAUUGAUCAGACAUGCUUUUACUGGUAUUAGUAGUGGGUAAAAGUCUGGAAAGCUUAACAUUAGUAAAGAUUUAUCUUUAUUUCCAAGAUAAAAAAAAAAAAAAAACACUUUGAUAUUUCUAUAAUGCAGGCCUCAAUAAUAUGGGGGCAAAUUUGUGUCACUUAUAAAUGAUUAAAUGUGUAAUCAUGGAUAAAAAUAAAUUCAAAAUGUAAAAAAAACGAAUGGAAAAUUAAAAUGAUCAUUAUGAAAAUAUUACACUUUAACAAUUUAUGAUACACAGUAAAGAUGUCAAUGUCAGAUGUAACAAAACAACCACUGUUAUACAAUUUGCUGUAAUCAAAAUAUAAAGCACAUAUAAAAAGUGUUGUGAAAACUGACAUCCAAAAAUAGUAACAGUAGUAAACUUCAUCAAAUAGCUUUAUGCAACAACA